UGCGUGAAGUCGGAAUCGCUAGUAAUCGCGGAUCAGCAUGCCGCGGUGAAUACGUUCCCGGGCCUUGUACACACCGCCCGUCACGCCAUGAGAGUCGGGAACACCCGAAGUCCGUAGCCUAACCGCAAGGAGGGCGCGGCCGAAGGUGGGUUCGAUAAUUGGGGUGAAGUCGUAACAAGGUAGC
rnacentral:rRNA from 1 species